AGAUUGAACGCUGGCGGCAUGCCUUACACAUGCAAGUCGAACGGUAGAGUAGCAAUACUCGAGAGUGGCGAACGGGUGAGUAAUAUAUCGGAACGUGCCCAGUCGUGGGGGAUAACGUAGAGAAAUUUACGCUAAUACCGCAUACGAUCUAAGGAUGAAAGCGGGGGAUUCGCAAGAACCUCGCGCGAUUGGAGUGGCUGAUAUCAGAUUAGGUUGUUGGUGAAGGUAAAGCUACACCAAGCCGACGAUCUGUAGCUGGUUUGAGACGAACGACCAGCCACACGUGGGACUGAAGACACGGCCCAGACCUCCGACGGGAGCAGCAGGUAGGGUAAUUUGGACUAAGUGGGACGAAG
rnacentral:rRNA from 1 species